rnacentral:rRNA from 1 species
UACGUAGGGCGCAAGCGUUAUCCGGAAUUAUUGGGCGUAAAGAGCUCGUAGGCGGCUUGUUGCGUCGGCUGUGAAAACCCGCGGCUUAACUGUGGGCUUGCAGCUGAUACGGGCAGGCUAGAGUUCGGUAGGGGAGACUGGAAUUCCUGGUGUAGCGGUGAAAUGCGCAGAUAUCAGGAGGAACACCGGUGGCGAAGGCGGGUCUCUGGGCCGAUACUGACGCUGAGGAGCGAAAGCAUGGGGAGCGAACAGG